ACGAGGAUGAGCUAGAAAAGUGGAAUGAGCUGAAAAGUUGGUGUUACAGCUUUUUAAUCCACCGCCUUACCCUGCCGASUCCACCCCCRCUGCGCCUACGCCACCUGGGACUGGGGGUGCCUCGCUCGCCCUGCUCGAGUGUGUCCACCUGAGCACGCUUUAAAUGUCAUCAAAUCUGUCUUGAAGAGCUCAUUGUUGUUAUCCCUAAGGUGGGGUUCUGUAUAUCUCCUACCCUAACUGUUUGACCUCUUCAGCUACUACACAAGAUGUUAUGCCUUGCAGUCACAUCCUGGGCUGCAAAGUARUAUCCAAUUACACGGGAACAAGUUUCUUACUCAGCAGGGCAAUGUCUUCAUCCCUUUGGUGUACCUUCUCUCAACCCUCAUAGCAAAUAUUCCCAGAUGGGAUAGCUAUUGACAUAAAAUUAAUAACUGUAAUCUAACUCUAAGUGGGGAAUGCUUUCAUAGUGUACUAGCCAAUUUUUAGUACAUUUAUCGUUUCCAAAGUUCUUAAUUAUGCAGCCCUGGGUUUUAAGAUUGGCCCAAUUUUUCAGUUAUCUUUCUCUUACAUGGAACUGGCUAGAAGGUCCUGGCAGUUGUCAUCUCCCAUUUGGAGGAGGUCUCUCCACCCACCAGAGCCAUUGAGAUUGCUGGAAGUUCCUGCGUAACUGAUGGUACUUGUCUGAUCACCCUCUGGCAGGGAUCCACACYUUCAGCAACUCCUCCUGGAUCCUCUUGUGGAGCACAACGUUCCUGGUGACCUCAUCCUCAGAGUGGAUGAUCUGUUAAAGCCUAUGAGCCUGCAUACUCAGAAUUUGACUCGCCAAGCAGGUGAUACCCAGUCUACCAUCACURGAGAUGGCAUACAGGAUGGCAUCACAGUGCUCAAUAUUAAAUGCAACCAACGUUUUACCACUAAUCUUUYGGCAAGAUCCAAGGAGUGGAGAUGAUCUAAUGCAAGAUUGAACAGGAUUGGAAACAUUGGAUCACCUUGUUUCACCCCACUGAGGGUCUUUGUAUUCUAGGAGAACAUCCCACCUACCUCAAGGUGCAGGCUUGGUUGGAUGUUUUUAGUGGUACGUUAUUCUGAUUGGAACAAGCUUCUCAGCCACCUGGGAUGUCAGCUCCUCCACCAUACUGAUGAGGAUCUUGGGAGUGUGUCUUCCAAGCCUUCCAGGAUCCUCUGGAASAAUACCCGAGUGAUCAGAGUUCCUGAUCUGUUGUCCAAUUCUCCUCCUAUAUUCCAGCUUCACUCCUUUCACUCUUUCCAACUCAGUGUUCCCUUCCCGCACUGAAGAUGCCUUUGUUGUCAGCGACUGUGUCUUCUCGUAUCACAGAUCUGUUUUGCCAUUUUCACAGGCAAAUGCUCUGAUUGGCCUGAUUGGCUCAUUAGUAGAAUGCAUGUUCUUAAACUUCUGUUCAAGUUCAAUAACUGCGGUUUCCUCCUCAGUCCAGCACCCCUUAUGCAUACUUUAAAAACUUUGUCCCUUUGAGUGAGAUUCCUCAGUCCAUUCCAGGUUCCUUGUAACUGUGUACAUAAGUCUCUUGUGCUGAGAGAGGCUGCUCUUGGUCUUAAAGUCAGGACUGUACUCCACAUGCUGCCAUCUUUGUGCUUCUGAGGGGACUUUUUUCCAAUUCAACUGUGAACCUCUGGCACCUAGGAAAAUGACAAGUGAUACUAUGAUGCUUCUCAUUAGUUCUUCCACAAYGGGACCGUUGAUAAAAGAGGCAUCAACGACUGUGAGUCCUCAUUAGACAUUCUGUUAUGACCAGCAACUUACCUUCUCUGGUACCACAGCAAGGAUGUGUUGAGUAACCUUGGGU